UGACCUCUGACCUCAAAUCAGGUAGGACUAC
rnacentral:rRNA from 1 species